CGCAGGCGCAGACUGGUUUUGGCGGAAAUGCGCAAUGGCCCGGUGGCGGAGUUUGUGAGUGUUCUGUGUCGUCCCCUAGCGGAUCGAAUGUAAAUAAUAACAACAACAAUCAUCACGUCAUCAUCUCACUCUCACAUCCAAAUAGACUACAGAAGUGAAAAUAACAGGCAUGGCCGGAAGCCGAGGUGCUGAGGACAGGACUGUUGACAAGGUUUUUGACACCUUGUGGUUAGGGCUGCCAGAUGAAAUACAGCUUUAUAUGAAUUUCAUAUUAAUUUUGUAUUAUCUGUUCCAUGCAGUAUUUCAGUCCAGUCUGAAAAUGGGCAAGAGAGAUUAAUGAGUGUUUUUCAGCGAUUCUAGCGUUGACAUUCUGCUGACUGGGGUCUAUGGAGCCGCACAGGAAGGACCUAACUGCAAAUGUUUCAUCACUGAGCCACAUCUCCAGGAUGGAUCAUGGAUGAGAUUGGGAGAAUAAUUCCUUCUCUUCAAGUUCUUUGGAUGAAUUUAAGAAUUGAACUACUGUCUUCUUACAAAGAUCCCAUUGGAAGAUGGUGUAUUUUCCUGACAUAGAAAUGCCUCUCAUAUAAGAUAGAACAUAGUGAUCAUUUUAAUUAAAAAAAUGAUGACCUAACUCGCAUUUCUCAAGGAGCCAUGAGCAGUGCUACCAUGGCAUGUGGAAACGUUUCUUCAAAGCUCAGAUGUUCCCGUAGAGCCUGGCUUUUGAAGGCAUGAUAACAUGUUCUCCACCAUCUCUACCCUCACCCCUUGCAAGAAGAAUGUGAACAUUUUUUUCUUUUCUACAUUAGAUAGCUUGCCAAAUGGGAUACCAACAUAUUUUUCAGUUCUUCUAAAAUGUCUGGACUAUUACACAAGCACUCCAAUCUCCCAGCCACGAUGGUGCCAAAGGCCCUCCCUGUGUGCCUGAGCCUAUUCUUACAGCAUACUGGGUAGAACUGGCUGAAGUAAGAGCAACUCUCUGGGCAGUCACAAGUGGGAAAUGCCAAGUCACAAGAUGGCAUUUAUCUCAAGAAGCUAAAAGACGUAGAAGAAAGCAAAGAGGAAAUAAAAGAGGAAAAACAUCAACAAAAUCAC